rnacentral:lncRNA from 1 species
AGCACAGAUUUGAAAGGUGGUUCCUAAGAUCUCCAAAAUAAAGGCUAGGAAAUGUGUCCUUUUCCUCCAUCUACGGUGCUCCCAAAAUGGCUUUUCUCUCCAAACGAGUAAGUGAGAACAGAAGACAAAGGAGCCAGCUAAGGCCAGUGAAUUGGAAACCAAAAAAAGUGUGCAUUUGAUGUCAUUGCUACCAAAAGGCUCUUUUCUUUAGUCUUGAGUAAAUCCUCAUCAGGUUCCUCAACACACAGGUUCAGAGAUGCAUCAUGACCUUCUCAAGGUCAAACAUCAGACCACAACUAAAAUUCAGCCCCACCAACCCAGAUUUAGUGUUCUCGAUAUAGGAAGACGAACCCCCGAUGUCCAGCAGGGUCUUGCUUCAGCAGUGGAUUGGAGACUUGAGAACCGAUCAGGUCUUCACCCUGGAUGAUGGAGAAUCCAGAUGAUGGUGGAGAAUCCAGAGGGAAGACUGGAGUGGAAUCCUUCUUUAGUAGCUUCUUGGCCAUGUGAAGUAAGCUGGUCCCAGGGCUGUGGGAGGGAAGAGGUGCAUGGAGGUCUCAGUAGCCUGGUGUCCCUUUGUCCCCUUCACCCACUGUCAGGCAAGCGUCUUGCUCCUCCAGGUUGCCAAGACACUCAAUGGUACUCUUUGAGGAAUAUGUGUGUUUUAAUAGAGGGUCUAGACAGACAGUAGCACUGAAGAGAAAAUGGGUCAUCUGUAUUUGAAUUGGCAAUUGUGAGCUGUUUGUUGGGAAGGUGUUUUAAGGGGAGCCUGCCUCCCCUUGAGUCAGAGCCUAAAUGAAUGACUGCUGGAGGUUCACAGUACAAUGAAGAUUGUACAUACAUGUGUCAGUCAGUACAUACAUGAGCCUGUCCCCGGGGUAGACCUAACUUUCCUGCAGCUCCUGGGGACAUUGAGAAAUGGGCCAGGAUAGUUGUCACAGUAGGCCUUGUGGCUGCCACUGACUGGAAGUUUCCCAUAUGACCCCGGGGGAUAUUAUCCCAUGUAAUCCUCAAAAGAAUCACACGGAGCUGCUGCUAUGUGUAAUAUGUUGUACCUAUGUAACUGAGAAAUUGCAGAUAGCAAACAGUAAGACUGGUUCCACAGUCUAGGCUUUUAACCAAUUCCAUCCAUGUCAUUUCUAUGAACUCAUGUUGCAGAUUCUCAGAAGGACCAGUCUGGACGGCAUGGAAACGCUGCUUUAGUGUUUCAGUACUAAGUGUAUCUUUUUGCUUCUGUUCUUCCAGUCUGAUAGCUGACUUGUAUUCAGAUUGUUACAUUUUUAGAAUUUUGUAGGUCAGUUAUUACAACCAUUAUUGAAGAUUAACUUAUAUAUAAUCUUACAGUUAAAUAAAUUCUAUUUAAGACAAGGAG